rnacentral:rRNA from 1 species
AGCGUACACGGUGGAUGCCCUGGCAGUCAGAGGCGAUGAAGGACGUGCUAAUCUGCGAUAAGCGUCGGUAAGGUGAUAUGAACCGUUAUAACCGGCGAUUUCCGAAUGGGGAAACCCAGUGUGUUUCGACACACUAUCAUUAACUGAAUCCAUAGGUUAAUGAGGCGAACCGGGGGAACUGAAACAUCUAAGUACCCCGAGGAAAAGAAAUCAACCGAGAUUCCCCCAGUAGCGGCGAGCGAACGGGGAGCAGCCCAGAGCCUGAAUCAGUAUGUGUGUUAGUGGAAGCGUCUGGAAAGGCGCGCGAUACAGGGUGACAGCCCCGUACACAAAAAUGCACAUGCUGUGAGCUCGAUGAGUAGGGCGGGACACGUGGUAUCCUGUCUGAAUAUGGGGGGACCAUCCUCCAAGGCUAAAUACUCCUGACUGACCGAUAGUGAACCAGUACCGUGAGGGAAAGGCGAAAAGAACCCCGGCGAGGGGAGUGAAAAAGAACCUGAAACCGUGUACGUACAAGCAGUGGGAGCACGCUUAGGCGUGUGACUGCGUACCUUUUGUAUAAUGGGUCAGCGACUUAUAUUCUGUAGCAAGGUUAACCGAAUAGGGGAGCCGAAGGGAAACCGAGUCUUAACUGGGCGUUAAGUUGCAGGGUAUAGACCCGAAACCCGGUGAUCUAGCCAUGGGCAGGUUGAAGGUUGGGUAACACUAACUGGAGGACCGAACCGACUAAUGUUGAAAAAUUAGCGGAUGACUUGUGGCUGGGGGUGAAAGGCCAAUCAAACCGGGAGAUAGCUGGUUCUCCCCGAAAGCUAUUUAGGUAGCGCCUCGUGAAUUCAUCUCCGGGGGUAGAGCACUGUUUCGGCAAGGGGGUCAUCCCGACUUACCAACCCGAUGCAAACUGCGAAUACCGGAGAAUGUUAUCACGGGAGACACACGGCGGGUGCUAACGUCCGUCGUGAAGAGGGAAACAACCCAGACCGCCAGCUAAGGUCCCAAAGUCAUGGUUAAGUGGGAAACGAUGUGGGAAGGCCCAGACAGCCAGGAUGUUGGCUUAGAAGCAGCCAUCAUUUAAAGAAAGCGUAAUAGCUCACUGGUCGAGUCGGCCUGCGCGGAAGAUGUAACGGGGCUAAACCAUGCACCGAAGCUGCGGCAGCGACGCUGAUGCGUUGUUGGGUAGGGGAGCGUUCUGUAAGCCUGCGAAGGUGUGCUGUGAGGCAUGCUGGAGGUAUCAGAAGUGCGAAUGCUGACAUAAGUAACGAUAAAGCGGGUGAAAAGCCCGCUCGCCGGAAGACCAAGGGUUCCUGUCCAACGUUAAUCGGGGCAGGGUGAGUCGACCCCUAAGGCGAGGCCGAAAGGCGUAGUCGAUGGGAAACAGGUUAAUAUUCCUGUACUUGGUGUUACUGCGAAGGGGGGACGGAGAAGGCUAUGUUGGCCGGGCGACGGUUGUCCCGGUUUAAGCGUGUAGGCUGGUUUUCCAGGCAAAUCCGGAAAAUCAAGGCUGAGGCGUGAUGACGAGGCACUACGGUGCUGAAGCAACAAAUGCCCUGCUUCCAGGAAAAGCCUCUAAGCAUCAGGUAACAUCAAAUCGUACCCCAAACCGACACAGGUGGUCAGGUAGAGAAUACCAAGGCGCUUGAGAGAACUCGGGUGAAGGAACUAGGCAAAAUGGUGCCGUAACUUCGGGAGAAGGCACGCUGAUAUGUAGGUGAAGUCCCUCGCGGAUGGAGCUGAAAUCAGUCGAAGAUACCAGCUGGCUGCAACUGUUUAUUAAAAACACAGCACUGUGCAAACACGAAAGUGGACGUAUACGGUGUGACGCCUGCCCGGUGCCGGAAGGUUAAUUGAUGGGGUUAGCCGCAAGGCGAAGCUCUUGAUCGAAGCCCCGGUAAACGGCGGCCGUAACUAUAACGGUCCUAAGGUAGCGAAAUUCCUUGUCGGGUAAGUUCCGACCUGCACGAAUGGCGUAAUGAUGGCCAGGCUGUCUCCACCCGAGACUCAGUGAAAUUGAACUCGCUGUGAAGAUGCAGUGUACCCGCGGCAAGACGGAAAGACCCCGUGAACCUUUACUAUAGCUUGACACUGAACAUUGAGCCUUGAUGUGUAGGAUAGGUGGGAGGCUUAGAAGUGUGGACGCCAGUCUGCAUGGAGCCGACCUUGAAAUACCACCCUUUAAUGUUUGAUGUUCUAACGUUGACCCGUAAUCCGGGUUGCGGACAGUGUCUGGUGGGUAGUUUGACUGGGGCGGUCUCCUCCUAAAGAGUAACGGAGGAGCACGAAGGUUGGCUAAUCCUGGUCGGACAUCAGGAGGUUAGUGCAAUGGCAUAAGCCAGCUUGACUGCGAGCGUGACGGCGCGAGCAGGUGCGAAAGCAGGUCAUAGUGAUCCGGUGGUUCUGAAUGGAAGGGCCAUCGCUCAACGGAUAAAAGGUACUCCGGGGAUAACAGGCUGAUACCGCCCAAGAGUUCAUAUCGACGGCGGUGUUUGGCACCUCGAUGUCGGCUCAUCACAUCCUGGGGCUGAAGUAGGUCCCAAGGGUAUGGCUGUUCGCCAUUUAAAGUGGUACGCGAGCUGGGUUUAGAACGUCGUGAGACAGUUCGGUCCCUAUCUGCCGUGGGCGCUGGAGAACUGAGGGGGGCUGCUCCUAGUACGAGAGGACCGGAGUGGACGCAUCACUGGUGUUCGGGUUGUCAUGCCAAUGGCACUGCCCGGUAGCUAAAUGCGGAAGAGAUAAGUGCUGAAAGCAUCUAAGCACGAAACUUGCCCCGAGAUGAGUUCUCCCUGACUCCUUGA